rnacentral:lncRNA from 1 species
AUAAUCCGGCGAUGAACGGCGAGAUGAUGAUGCGGCCUCCCAUGCCUGCGCCGUACCAGGUGUGGGCGGCGGCGCUGGCGCAGCAGCAGCAGCAGCAGCAGCUCCCGCCGGUGGCCGUGGCGGAGGCGCCGCCGGCGGGGUUCAAGCCGGCGAGGCCCGCGUGGAAGCGGGCGGCGCGGCAGCAGCCCGGGUGGAAGCAGCGCAAGGCCGCGGCCCAGGCGCAGGGGAGGUGGGGCGGGUCGGCGGCGCCGCGCAACACGACGUCGUACCUGAUCCGGGCCAAGCGGGCCGGGGGCGUGGCGUCGCUGGUGUCGCCGUGCCCCGUGACGCCCGCCGUGCUGCCGACGCCGCGGCUGUCGCCGGCGCGGGAGGUGCUGGUGGAGAUGGCCAAGGAGGCGUGGGGCGUCGACGGGUACGGCUCUAUGAAGGGCCUCAUCCGCCUCCGCCCCCAGGCCGCCGGCCCCGACGCCGGCGACGGCGACGGCGCUGACUCGGGCUCCGGCGAGAGCGACGUGGAGGAGCACGUGGAGGUGGAGCGCCGCCUCGACCACGACCUCAGCCGCUUCGAGAUGGUGCAGCUCCCCGCCGCGCCCGCCGGCGAGGACGACGAGGACGAGGACGCCCGCGCGGCCCGGCUGGAGGAGGAGAACCUGACCCUCCGCGCGCGGCUCUUCCUGGUGGAGCGCGACAUGGCCGACCUCCGCCGCCGCCUCGUCGCCGUCGAGUCCCUCUGCCGCGACCGCCACCGCGACGGCUGCGUCGUCGACGCCGCCCUGCCGCCCCCCUCCAACAGCGACGAGGCGGACGCCACCGAGGACGCCAUGGUACUCUGACGUGGCCGCCGCCGCCCCUGGCCGGCCGCCCGCACCGUGCCCUGUACAUAGUUCACCGUCCCUUCCUCCUCCUCCCCUCUGUGCAGGUGUCAACAGACAGACAGAUGUGAAUGAAGAGUAGCCAGCAGCAUCAGCAUCAGCAUCAGAAGCAGCAGUUCAAUUAGCAUCCCAGAACCAGUCAUCACUCUUCCUCCCUUCCCUCCUUGAAUCCCCAUAGCAGUUCGAUCUGUAGUUGUGUCAUCAGGUAGCCAGGUCCAUUCCAUGUCCAUGUCCUCGUAGCAGCAUUAGGAGUCAACCAAACCAAUCCAAGCAAGCAAUGUGUUCAUGUAGAUGUAUUAGCGGUUAAUCGGCGUCAAUGGCGGGCACCGGCGAAGAAGACGCGGGGCGUUCCUCUAGAUCCAGUGCCUACCAAAGUCGGCAUACAACUCCAGUCAUUAGUCAGUACUAGCAGUAGCAUUUGUUGUGAUUCUGAACAUAUUGUUGCUCCAUUAUUGCAUUCUGCAUUCUGUACCAUUCUGUGCGCGUCCAUGCUCACCAGAUGCUUGGCCAUUGGCAGGGAGGGGACAGGCAGCGGCGGCGAGACCCAUGGAUGAUGGAUCCAGCAGCCGUGGGAGUUUUAUACUACUAUACUACUAUAUUUUUUUGUUUUAUUUUAUUUAGUUUUUGCUGUGCUUGCGUGCGUGUGUGCGUGCGGUUUUGGCGAGACGUGGCGUGACCAGUGGGACUCGCUCCUGUGGACGCGGGGGUGGGGUGGGGUGGGGUGGUGGACGGUGCGUUGAGUGCGGCGCGGCUUGGUAGGUCGGUCAGGUCAGGUCCGGGCAACCUGAUUGCCAUUCUGAACUGGGUGGUGG